UACGUAGGGGGCAAGCGUUGUCCGGAAUCAUUGGGCGUAAAGCGCGUGUAGGCGGUUCGAUAAGUCUGCUGUGAAAGUCCAGGGCUCAACCCUGGGAUGCCGGUGGAUACUGUCGGGCUAGAGUGCGGAAGAGGCGAGUGGAAUUCCUGGUGUAGCGGUGAAAUGCGCAGAUAUCAGGAGGAACACCAGUGGCGAAGGCGCCACUCUGGGCCGUGAACUG
rnacentral:rRNA from 1 species